UGGGGAAUAUUGCACAAUGGGCGAAAGCCUGAUGCAGCGACGCCGCGUGAGGGAUGACGGCCUUCGGGUUGUAAACCUCUUUCAGCAGGGAAGAAGCGCAAGUGACGGUACCUGCAGAAGAAGCGCCGGCUAACUACGUGCCAGCAGCCGCGGUAAUACGUAGGGCGCAAGCGUUGUCCGGAAUUAUUGGGCGUAAAGAGCUCGUAGGCGGCUUGUCACGUCGGAUGUGAAAGCCCGGGGCUUAACCCCGGGUCUGCAUUCGAUACGGGCUAGCUAGAGUGUGGUAGGGGAGAUCGGAAUUCCUGGUGUAGCGGUGAAAUGCGCAGAUAUCAGGAGGAACACCGGUGGCGAAGGCGGAUCUCUGGGCCAUUACUGACGCUGAGGAGCGAAAGCGUGGGGAGCGAACA
rnacentral:rRNA from 1 species